CGUACAUAUCACUAAUGAGAAUAUUUACUAAAACCACUCACACCUAAAUGGUGGUGAAAGUUCUCUAUCUAUAAUCAUUUAGAAAAUCAAAUAAAUUAUAAAA